rnacentral:rRNA from 1 species
AGCAGCCGCGGUAAUUCCAGCUCCAAUAGCGUAUAUUAAAGUUGUUGCAGUUAAAAAGCUCGUAGUUGAAUUUCGGGACUAAUAUGUCGGUCGUACUUUGUACGUUCUAGCAUUAUUGGUUUCUCCCUUCUGACGAACCACGAUGUCAUUAAUUUGGUGUCAUGGGAAAUCAGGACUGUUACUUUGAAAAAAUUAGAGUGUUUAAAGCAAGCUCGCGCUUGAAUACAUUAGCAUGGAAUAAUGAAAUAGGACGUUUGAUUCUAUUUUGUUGGUUUCUAGGAUUGACGUAAUGAUUAAUAGGGAUAGUUGGGGGCAUUAGUAUUCAAUUGUCAGAGGUGAAAUUCUUGGAUUUAUUGAAGACUAACUACUGCGAAAGCAUUUGCCAAGGAUGUUUUCAUUAAUCAAGAACGAAAGUUAGGGGAUCGAAGAC